rnacentral:rRNA from 1 species
GAUCAUGGCUCAGAUUGAACGCUGGCGGAAUGCUUUACACAUGCAAGUCGAACGGCAGCACGGGGCAACCUGGUGGCGAGUGGCGAACGGGUGAGUAAUACAUCGGAACGUGCCCAAUCGUGGGGGAUAACGUAGCGAAAGUUACGCUAAUACCGCAUACGAUCUACGGAUGAAAGCGGGGGAUCGCAAGACCUCGCGCGAGUGGAGCGGCCGAUGUCAGAUUAGGUAGUUGGUGGGGUAAAGGCUCACCAAGCCAACGAUCUGUAGCUGGUCUGAGAGGACGACCAGCCACACUGGAACUGAGACACGGUCCAGACUCCUACGGGAGGCAGCAGUGGGGAAUUUGGACAAUGGGCGCAAGCCUGAUCCAGCCAUUCCGCGUGCAGGAUGAAGGCCUUCGGGUUGUAAACUGCUUUUGUACGGAACGAAACGGCGAGCUCUAAUACAGUUUGCUAAUGACGGUACCGUAAGAAUGAGCACCGGCUAACUACGUG